rnacentral:lncRNA from 1 species
GACAGUUGUUAUUUUUAAGCCUUGUGUAGUUGGUGUUUCCUGGUAUUUUGGAUUCUGACCCACAGUUUGUGAAUUUUGGAGUUAGGAGUCCGACAGCUGCCAGUGAAAAGAUCUGCAGGAAAGGUUCAGAAGAUGAGUGAUACCUUGGAUGUGCAGUGAUUGUAGACAGAGCCCCCUUUAUGGAACCAUUUGCAUCCGCAUAUGGAGCUAUGACCUAGAUGACAUUUGCACAGCCUACAGCAUAGUGAAGACAAAAUGACUUCUAGUGCUCUCUCUGAGGUGAAAUAGCUUUGCAACUCAAAAUAAAG